UUGUUAUAGGCCUAUGCGGCUCACUGACAUGGGCUAGUCCCUGGCCCGAAGCUGAACCUGAAGCUUUUGCAGAAGCUUUCGCAAAAGCUACAGCUGAAGCUUCAGCAGAACCUGAUAUGCCUUAAUACCUCUUUCAUCUCUUAUAUUAGGCCAGGUGGGAUAAGCUCUUUUGGCGGGCAUGUUUACCAUUUAUUCAUCACGCCGUAACAAACAAUUAAUUAAGAAGACAAAUUAAGAAAGUAUGCAACCGUGCUUCAAUAUGUCUGCUACAUUAUAAAUAAUUAAUUAUAUCAAUGAAAUACGAAUAAAUAAAUAAAUGUAAUAUUUGUAAACAUA